GACGAACGCUGGCGGCGUGCUUAACACAUGCAAGUCGAACGGAAAGGCCCCUUUGGGGGUACUCGAGUGGCGAACGGGUGAGUAACACGUGAGUAACCUGCCCUUGACUUCGGGAUAACUUCAGGAAACUGGGGCUAAUACCGGAUAGGAAUCCUUGCUGCAUGGUGGGGGUUGGAAAGCUUCGGCGGUUUUGGAUGGACUGGCGGCUUAUCAGCUUGUUGGUGGGGUAGUGGCUUACCAAGGCUUUGACGGGUAGCCGGCCUGAGAGGGCGACCGGCCACAUUGGGACUGAGGUACGGCCCAGACUCCUACGGGAGGCAGCAGUGGGGAAUAUUGCACAAUGGGCGGAAGCCUGAUGCAGCAACGCCGCGUGCGGGAUGACGGCCUUCGGGUUGUAAACCGCUUUCAGCAGGGGCGAAGCUUGUGGUGACGGUACCUGCAGAAGAAGCACCGGCUAACUACGUG
rnacentral:rRNA from 1 species